rnacentral:rRNA from 1 species
GUGGGGAAUCUUGCGCAAUGGGCGAAAGCCUGACGCAGCCAUGCCGCGUGAAUGAUGAAGGUCUUAGGAUUGUAAAAUUCUUUCACCGGGGACGAUAAUGACGGUACCCGGAGAAGAAGCCCCGGCUAACUUCGUGCCAGCAGCCGCGGUAAUACGAAGGGGGCUAGCGGUGCUCGGAAUUACUGGGCGUAAAGGGCGCGUAGGCGGACAGUUUAGUCAGAGGUGAAAGCCCAGGGCUCAACCUUGGAAUUGCCUUUGAUACUGGCUGUCUUGAGUACGGGAGAGGUGAGUGGAACUCCGAGUGUAGAGGUGAAAUUCGUAGAUAUUCGGAAGAACACCAGUGGCGAAGGCGACUCACUGGCCCGUUACUGACGCUGAGGCGCGAAAGCGUGGGGAGCAAACAGGAUUAGAUACCCCUGUAGUCC